rnacentral:lncRNA from 1 species
AACCGCACUCUCUGUUUCGAUCGCCGGAAACACUCGAAGACGCGACGGGAACCACCUUUCGUUACGCUUCGGAAACUGCAACAUGCCGGAGUACCAAAGCGUCGCCGGUUAAACGGAGCUCGCCGGAGAUUACGAGACGUCGCCGGAACCGAAACCCGACUCGACGUGUUUCGGUUGAUAGUCAAGAUAAUGAAGGAAUCAAGUUAGGAUGGACUAGAUACCCACUUUAAUAAUAAACUAUGUUUUCAUUUAUGAAAUUUGAUUUAAUUAUAUUGUCACAAUAG